AUGCACGCUGGCGGCGUGCCUAAUACAUGCCAGUCGAGCGAACAGACGAGGAGCUUGCUCCUCUGACGUUAGCGGCGGACGGGUGAGUAACACGUGGAUAACCUACCUAUAAGACUGGGAUAACUUCGGGAAACCGGAGCUAAUACCGGAUAAUAUAUUGAACCGCAUGGUUCAAUAGUGAAAGACGGUUUUGCUGUCACUUAUAGAUGGAUCCGCGCCGCAUUAGCUAGUUGGUAAGGUAACGGCUUACCAAGGCGACGAUGCGUAGCCGACCUGAGAGGGUGAUCGGCCACACUGGAACUGAGACACGGUCCAGACUCCUACGGGAGGCAGCAGUAGGGAAUCUUCCGCAAAGGGCGAAAGCCUGACGGAGCAACGCCGCGUGAGUGAUGAAGGUCUUCGGAUCGUAAAACUCUGUUAUUAGGGAAGAACAAAUGUGUAAGUAACUAUGCACGUCUUGACGGUACCUAAUCAGAAAGCCACGGCUAACUACGUG
rnacentral:rRNA from 1 species